rnacentral:misc_RNA from 1 species
GAAUAAUCCUUUCCGGCUCGGCGGCGGCUCUGUCUUCAUCAAUUCUCCCCUCCACGCCUUGCACUCCAAGCAAUCUGCGUGCUUUAUAAGCUUCUUCCCAUUGGAGCUUUGACUCUUCAUCUGAAAAUGGCGGAUUCUAUCGACGGAGCUGCAAAGGCUGUCUCUGAUUUAGCAUUGGGUUCCGCUACUGCCGCUCCAGACACGGCCCACUCUGCUCCAAGUGCUGAAGAAACUAUAAGCAAGAAUGCACGCAAG